rnacentral:rRNA from 1 species
AUUGAACGCUGGCGGCAGGCCUAACACAUGCGAGUCGAGCGGAUGAAGGGAGCUUGCUCCUGGAUUCAGCGGCGGACGGGUGAGUAAUGCCUAGGAAUCUGCCUGGUAGUGGGGGAUAACGUCCGGAAACGGGCGCUAAUACCGCAUACGUCCUGAGGGAGAAAGUGGGGGAUCUUCGGACCUCACGCUAUCAGAUGAGCCUAGGUCGGAUUAGCUAGUUGGUGGGUAAAGGCCUACCAAGGCGACGAUCCGUAACUGGUCUGAGAGGAUGAUCAGUCACACUGGAACUGAGACACGGUCCAGACUCCUACGGGAGGCAGCAGUGGGGAAUAUUGGACAAUGGGCGAAAGCCUGAUCCAGCCAUGCCGCGUGUGUGAAGAAGGUCUUCGGAUUGUAAAGCACUUUAAGUUGGGAGGAAGGGCAGUAAGUUAAUACCUUGCUGUUUUGACGUUACCAACAGAAUAAGCACCGGCUAACUUCGUG